UACGUAGGGCGCAAGCGUUGUCCGGAAUUAUUGGGCGUAAAGAGCUCGUAGGCGGUUUGUCGCGUCUGCUGUGAAAACUCAAGGCUCAACCUUGGGCUUGCAGUGGGUACGGGCAGACUAGAGUGCGGUAGGGGUGACUGGAAUUCCUGGUGUAGCGGUGGAAUGCGCAGAUAUCAGGAGGAACACCGAUGGCGAAGGCAGGUCACUGGGCCGCAACUGACGCUGAGGAGCGAAAGCAUGGGGAGCGAACAGG
rnacentral:rRNA from 2 species